rnacentral:siRNA from 1 species
UGAGAUUCAUGGUAUAAUCUU